GCUGGUUUAGUAUAUUUUAUUACGUUAGACUGUAAAUCUAAAAAUAGUUAAAACUAACCGGAA
rnacentral:tRNA from 1 species